rnacentral:rRNA from 1 species
GACGAACCGUGCGAACGUUGUUCGGAAUCACUGGGCUUAAAGGGCGCGUAGGCGGGCUCUCAAGUCAGGGGUGAAAACUUUCGGCUCAACCGGAAAAGUGCUUCUGAUACUGGGAGUCUCGAGGGAGGUAGGGGUCGGUGGAACUGGUGGUGGAGCGGUGAAAUGCGUAGAUAUCACUAGGAACGCCGGUGGCGAAAGCGACCGACUGGACCUCUUCUGACGCUGAGGCGCGAAAGCCAGGGGAGCGAACGGG